rnacentral:piRNA from 1 species
UAAAUAUGGGUUCUUUGUGUUUCUCCAAGGA